rnacentral:lncRNA from 1 species
UAAGUUCCGUCUUGUCCUACCAAUAACUUUAGUUUAAUAGUACUAUCUUUUUGGCUCAAAUUUUUUAUUUUUAGUGAUGGUAAACUGCUUAUUUGGAUGUAAAUAUCUUAUUUCUUGAUUUACUUUUUGGUCUUGAAAAAGUAAAGUUGAUCAUGCUAGGUGUGUGGUGUUUUGUUUGGUUUGUCAGAGCAAGUGCUUUAAUUUGAUGUAGCUUUCUCAUUGAUAAUAUGUUAUGAAUUGCGCUAAAGUAGUGAUAUUCACGUGGAUGAGUUACUGUACACCUGGGCAGUGAUUUGUCAUUGUUAGAGUUAAGUUAGGUGCCCCUGAAUCUUGAUGCUUUCACUAUGUGGGCUUUAGUCAUUUUGUACUUUAAAGGGUUCAAAUUUUGCUCUUUUCUCAUAUUUGGUGGAAGCAUAUCUGAGUUUUUCUAAGUGAAUAAUUAUUAACCUUAAUGUUUGGCCUUAUAGGCUUAAAUAAUAGAGUAAAUUGGUAUGGUACAUGCAUAAUACACUUACACUUUUGUCUUAAGAACACUGGUAUUUUUGUGUUAUAUUCAACUUUGCUUUUAUCAAAGUAAUUGGCCAGUCAUGACGAAUUUUUUCAAGGGUCUUCAAACUUGAAGGAAGUGAAAAAAAUUCUCCAGACUUCAAUAUAUGUUAUAUAGUAUAUAACUAGUGUAUCAAGUUCAAAGUUAAUAUAUGAGGAAUCAUAUACAAGCAAAGUUUUAAAUUAUGUGGUGUCCUCUUCCUAUUUGGCAGAUUCUUAACUUUUGUUAUGACAGAUUUUGGCACCUCUUCCUAUUGGAUUCGCGGUGUUCUUGGUUCAUUUGGCCACCAUCCCAAUCACCGGAACCGGUAUCAACCCCGCCCGGAGCCUUGGAGCUGCUAUCAUCUUCAACCAAGACCGGGCAUGGGAUGAUCACGUAAGUCUUCCAGUAAAAUACUUUCAAUACAAAAAUGACUUCGGUCAUACCAAACAUGCUUACGCCUUUGAGUAAAAUAAGUCUCUCACUAAAAUAUUUUUCGUAGAGAAUGACUUCCGCCAUACCAAACAUACUUAUGCCUUUGACAUUACUGUUGCACUGAAAUUGUAUUAUACCUAACUAAGCUGUUGUUUUUUUCCUAUUAUAUUUCAGUGGAUCUUCUGGGUUGGACCAUUCAUUGGAGCUGCACUUGCUGCAGUUUACCACCAGAUAAUCAUCAGAGCCAUUCCAUUCAAGAGCAAAUCUUAAUUAUCUUGAAGAGUCUCAUGUCCUAUGUCUCUUCCCCUGUUAUAUUUCAAGACUCCU